rnacentral:rRNA from 1 species
AGCAGCCGCGGUAAUUCCAGCUCCAAUAGCGUAUAUUAAAGUUGUUGCAGUUAAAAAGCUCGUAGUUGAAUUUCGGGGUCAGUAAGUUGGUCGUGCCACUGGUAUGUACUGGCUUUACUGAUUCCUCCUUCUUGUAGAACCGUAAUGCCAUUAAGUUGGUGUUGCGGGAAAACAGGACUGUUACUUUGAAAAAAUUAGAGUGUUUAAAGCAAGCUAACGCUUGAAUACAUUAGCAUGGAAUAAUGAAAUAGGACGAACGAUCCUAUUUUGUUGGUUUCUAGGAUUGACGUAAUGAUUAAUAGGGAUAGUUGGGGGCAUUAGUAUUCAAUUGUCAGAGGUGAAAUUCUUGGAUUUAUUGAAGACUAACUACUGCGAAAGCAUUUGCCAAGGAUGUUUUCAUUAAUCAAGAACGAAAGUUAGGGGAUCGAAGACGAUCAGAUACCGUCGUAGUCUUAACCAUAAACUAUGCCGACUAGGGAUCGGAUGAUGUUAAUUUUUUCAAUGACUCAUUCGGCGCCUU